UGGCAUAAGAGUGAAAGGCGCUUUCGUGUGUCGCUGAUGGAUGGACCCGCGGUGCAUUAGCUAGUUGGUGAGGUAACGGCUCACCAAGGCCACGAUGCAUAGCCGACCUGAGAGGGUGAUCGGCCACACUGGGACUGAGACACGGCCCAGACUCCUACGGGAGGCAGCAGUAGGGAAUCUUCGGCAAUGGACGAAAGUCUGACCGAGCAACGCCGCGUGAGUGAAGAAGGUUUUCGGAUCGUAAAACUCUGUUGUUAGAGAAGAACAAGGACGUUAGUAACUGAACGUCCCCUGACGGUAUCUAACCAGAAAGCCACGGCUAACUACGUGCCAGCAGCCGCGGUAAUACGUAGGUGGCAAGCGUUGUCCGGAUUUAUUGGGCGUAAAGCGAGCGCAGGCGGUUUCUUAAGUCUGAUGUGAAAGCCCCCGGCUCAACCGGGGAGGGUCAUUGGAAACUGGGAGACUUGAGUGCAGAAGAGGAGAGUGGAAUUCCAUGUGUAGCGGUGAAAUGCGUAGAUAUAUGGAGGAACACCAGUGGCGAAGGCGGCUCUCUGGUCUGUAACUGACGCUGAGGCUCGAAAGCGUGGGGAGCAAACAGGAUUAGAUACCCUGGUAGUCCACGCCGUANACGAUGAGUGCUAAGUGUUGGAGGGUUUCCGCCCUUCAGUGCUGCAGNCAACGCAUUAAGCACUCCGCCUGGGGAGUACGACCGCAAGGUUGAAACUCAAAGGAAUUGACGGGGGCCCGCACAAGCGGUGGAGCAUGUGGUUUAAUUCNNGAGCACGCGAAGAACCUUACCCAGGUCUGACAUCCUUUGACCACUCUAGAGAUAGAGCUUUUCCCUCGGGGACNAAGUGACCGGUGGUGCAUGGGUGUCGUCAGCUCGUGUCGUGAGAUGGUGGGGUAAAUCCCGCAACGACGCCACCCUUAUGGGUAGUGGGCACCAUUUAAUUGGGCACUCUAGCGAGACUGCCGGGGAACAACCGGAAGAAGGGUGGGGAUGACAUCAAAUCCUCAUGCCCCUUUGGAACUGGGCUACCCCCGGCGUCAGGGGGG
rnacentral:rRNA from 1 species